rnacentral:rRNA from 1 species
UACGAGGGGGGCGAGCGUUGUUCGGAUUCAUUGGGCGUAAAGGGCGCGUAGGCGGUGGGGUAAGUCUGGUGUGAAAUCUCGGAGCUCAACUCCGAAAUUGCACUGGAUACUGCUCUGCUAGAGGGCUGGAGAGGAGAUCGGAAUUCACGGUGUAGCAGUGAAAUGCGUAGAUAUCGUGAGGAAGACCAGUGGCGAAGGCGGAUCUCUGGACAGCUCCUGACGCUGAGGCGCGAAGGCUAGGGGAGCAAACGGG